UACGUAGGAGACGAGCGUUGUCCGGAAUUACUGGGCGUAAAGCGCGUGUAGGCGGAUGAGCAAGUCUGCUGUGAAAGCUCCUGGCUUAACCGGGAGUGGUCGGUGGAAACUGCUCGUCUGGAGGACGGUAGAGGUAGGUAGAAUUCCCGGUGUAGUGGUGAAAUGCGUAGAGAUCGGGAGGAAUACCUGUGGCGAAGGCGGCCUACUGGGCCGGACCUGACGCUGAGACGCGAAGGCGUGGGGGAGCGAACGGGG
rnacentral:rRNA from 1 species